CUGGGCCGUGGGAGGGAGCAUACAGACAUCUGGACCAAGCGGAAACGAGUUAGUUGUGCAGCUGUCGCAACGCUUUGAUCCCCUGCUGCUUGGUUGGGGCGUUUGAGAAAUGAUGCAGGUGCUGAUGUGCAGCCAGGCUUUGAGGCUGAGUCUGCAGAGCAGGGGCAGGUGGUGAACCUCAUGAAGCAAUGCCUGCAGACGGGGUUUGCAGAGCAAGAGGUC